rnacentral:rRNA from 1 species
UUCCUUUGAGUUUCAGCCUUGAGACAAUACUCCCCAGGCGGAGCACUCAACCCUUUCGCUUCGGUCGGAAACCUAUGGAGGAGCCUCCAACCUAGUGCUCAUCGUUUACAGCUAGGACUACCGGGGUAUCUAAUCCCGUUCGCUACCCUAGCUUUCGUGCCUCAGCGUCAGAAAAGACCCAGUGAGCCGCUUUCGCCACAGGUGUUCCUAAUGAUAUCAACGCAUUUCACCGCUCCACCAUUAGUUCCGCUCACCUCUAUCUUCCUCUAGCUUGGCAGUUUUGAGCGCAGUUCCUCGGUUGAGCCGAGGGAUUUCACACCCAACUUGCCAAGCCGCCUACGCACCCUUUAAGCCCAGUGAUUCCGAAUAACGUUUGGACGGUUCGUCUUACCGCGGCUGCUGGCACGAACUUAGCCCGUCCUUCCUCUGAAGAUAGGUCAACUAUGGGGGAGAACCCCCAUAGAUUUCCUCCCAACUGACAGCGGUUUACAACCCGAAGGCCUUCAUCCCGCACGCGGCGUCGCUCCGUCAGGCUUUCGCCCAUUGCGGA